CUACGGAACUCCUACGGGAGGCAGCAGUGGGGAAUAUUGGGCAAUGGAUGCAAGUCUGACCCAGCCAUGCCGCGUGCCGGAUGAAGGCCCUCAGGGUUGUAAACGGCUUUUAUUCGGGAAGAAGAGCAGGGAUGCGUCCCUGUGUGACGGUACUGAAUGAAUAAGCACCGGCUAACUCCGUGCCAGCAGCCGCGGUAAUACGGAGGGUGCGAGCGUUGUCCGGAUUUAUUGGGUUUAAAGGGUGCGUAGGUGGCUUUUUAAGUCAGUGGUGAAAUACAGCCGCUCAACGGUUGAGGUGCCAUUGAUACUGAAGAGCUUGAAACAAGUGGAGGCUGCCGGAAUGGAUGGUGUAGCGGUGAAAUGCAUAGAUAUCAUCCAGAACACCGAUUGCGAAGGCAGGUGGCUACGUUUGAUUUGACACUGAGGCACGAAAGCAUGGGGAGCAAACAGGAUUAGAAACCCCGGUAGUCCUCUUCGA
rnacentral:rRNA from 1 species